rnacentral:rRNA from 1 species
AUUGAACGCUGGCGGCAUGCCUUACACAUGCAAGUCGAACGGUAACAGGUCUUCGGAUGCUGACGAGUGGCGAACGGGUGAGUAAUACAUCGGAACGUGCCCGAGAGUGGGGGAUAACGAGGCGAAAGCUUUGCUAAUACCGCAUACGAUCUCAGGAUGAAAGCAGGGGACCGCAAGGCCUUGCGCUCACGGAGCGGCCGAUGGCAGAUUAGGUAGUUGGUGGGAUAAAAGCCUACCAAGCCGACGAUCUGUAGCUGGUCUGAGAGGACGACCAGCCACACUGGGACUAAGACACGGCCCAGACUCCUACGGGAGGCAGCAGUGGGGAAUUUUGGACAAUGGGCGCAAGCCUGAUCCAGCCAUGCCGCGUGCAGGAUGAAGGCCUUCGGGUUGUAAACUGCUUUUGUACGGAACGAAAAGACUCUGGUUAAUACCUGGGGUCCAUGACGGUACCGUAAGAAUAAGCACCGGCUAACUACGUGCCAGCAGCCGCCGUAA